AAACCAACAGGGAUUGCCUUAGUAACUGCGAGUGAAGCGGCAAGAGCUCAAAUUUGAAAUCUGGCACCUUUGGUGUCCGAGUUGUAAUUUGUAGAAGCAUCUUUUGGAUUGGUCCUUGCAUAUGUUCCUUGGAACAGGACAUCAUAGAGGGUGAGAAUCCCGUUCAUGGUGGGGAAUCCAAUUCUUUGUAAAGUGCUUUCGAAGAGUCGAGUUGUUUGGGAAUGCAGCUCUAAGUGGGUGGUAAAUUCCAUCUAAAGCUAAAUAUUGGCGAGAGACCGAUAGCGAACAAGUACAGUGAUGGAAAGAUGAAAAGAACUCCGAAAGGAGAGUGAAAAAGGACGUGAAAUUGUUGAAAGGGAAGUGCUUGAGAUCAGUCUUAAGGUUUAGUGAUCAGUCUUCCUUUUGGUUGGUGCACUCACUAUUUCUUAGGCCAACAUCAGUUUUCGCGGUAGGAUAAUGACAUUGGAAUGUGGCUCUUUCGGGAGUGUUAUAGCCUUUGUUGAUACUACCUGCUUAGACUGAGGACUGCGUAUUUUGCUAGGAUGUUGGCAUAAUGAUCUUAAGCAGC
rnacentral:rRNA from 1 species